rnacentral:rRNA from 1 species
UACGGAGGGUGCAAGCGUUAUCCGGAUUCACUGGGUUUAAAGGGUGCGUAGGUGGGCAGGUAAGUCAGUGGUGAAAUCUCCGGGCUUAACCCGGAAACUGCCAUUGAUACUAUCUGUCUUGAAUACCGUGGAGGUGAGCGGAAUAUGUCAUGUAGCGGUGAAAUGCUUAGAUAUGACAUAGAACGCCAAUUGCGAAGGCAGCUCACUACGCGAAUAUUGACACUGAGGCACGAAAGCGUGGGGAUCAAACAGG